GUCUAUGGCCAUACCACCCUGAAUGUACCCAAUCCUGUCUGAAGCUAAGCAGGGUUGGGCCUGCUUAGUACCUAGAUCGGAAACCACCUGGGAAUACUGGGUGCUUUUUAAA
rnacentral:rRNA from 1 species